AGGAAGCCUUAAUGAAUAUCAUAGAAAAAAUGGUCAAAAAGAAAAGGAAAUUUCCAUAGCCGCAAAGCUUGUUUGCAUAUGUGCAAUCAAAGUUAUUUGACAAUUCUUUUUUCAUUGUGUUAAUUCUAGGUAACCAUGAUGAGUACUUGAAGAGUGAUGGAAACAAGAUGAGCUUUAUCUCUUGGCAACCCAGAAACAGCUUAUGCACAUCCAAAAACUAACCAUAGUCAGUCCUUUGCUAUUUCGUAUCCGUAUGCUGAUUCAUACUAUGGUGGUCCAUUGCAGCUUAUGGGCAGCAUGCUAUUGUAAGUGAUUUUUAUGCGUCCAGCAUGUUAUCUCAUUAGUUUCUCCUACUUCAUGGUCUAGAUGUCCUUUAUCCACUUUGCUAUCCAGUGUUGUUCGCUACCUUCUUUGGUCCAAAUAAUAGGAUGUUUUCUGUACAUGUAGGUGUGCCUUGAGUAUUAUUACUGGUUAACUUUCAAUUGAUUUGCCCUUGUAUUCACCUGUGAAAAUUUACCGUGUUACUGAAGCAUUCAUGUA